rnacentral:rRNA from 1 species
UACGUAGGGGGCAAGCGUUGUCCGGAUUUAUUGGGCGUAAAGAGCGUGUAGGCGGUUCGGUAGGUCCGUUGUGAAAACUCGAGGCUCAACCUCGAGACGCCGAUGGAAACCCCCAAACUAGAGUCCGGAAGAGGAGAAUGGAAUUCCUGGUGUAGCGGUGAAAUGCGCAGAUAUCAGGAAGAACACCCGUGGCUAAGGCGGUUCUCUAGUACGGUACUGACGCUGAGACGCGAAAGCGUGGGGAGCGAACAGG